UACGAAGGGGGCUAGCGUUGCUCGGAAUCACUGGGCGUAAAGGGUGCGUAGGCGGGUCUUUUAAGUCAGGGGUGAAAUCCUGGAGCUCAACUCCAGAACUGCCUUUGAUACUGAAGAUCUUGAGUUCGGGAGAGGUGAGUGGAACUGCGAGUGUAGAGGUGAAAUUCGUAGAUAUUCGCAAGAACACCAGUGGCGAAGGCGGCUCACUGGCCCGAUACUGACGCUGAGGCACGAAAAGCGUGGGGAGCAAAC
rnacentral:rRNA from 1 species